rnacentral:rRNA from 1 species
GGGAUGGGGAUGCGUCUGAUUAGAUAGUAGGCGGGUAACGCCCACCUAGUCAACGAUCAGUAGGGGUUCUGAGAGGAAGGUCCCCCACAUUGGAACUGAGACACGGUCCAAACUCCUACGGGAGCAGCAGUGAGGAGUAUUGGUCAAUGGGCGAGAGCCUGAACCAGCCAAGUAGCGUGCAGGACGACGGCCCUAUGGGUUGUAAAACUGCUUUUAUACGGGGAGUAAAGUGGGCCAUGCAUGGCCUUUUGUCAUGUACCGUAUGAAUAAGGACCGGCUAAUUCCGUGCC